AGUAAAUAGAUACCCUGGUAGUCCACGCCGUAAACGAUGUCGACUUGGAGGUUGUGCCCUGAGGCGUGGCUUCCGGAGCUAAACGCGUUAAGUCGACCGCCUGGGGAGUACGGCCGCAAGGUUAAAACUCAAAUGAAUUGACGGGGGCCCGCACAAGCGGUGGAGCAUGUGGUUUAAUUCGAUGCAACGCGAAGAACCUUACCUACUCUUGACAUCCAGAGAACUUAGCAGAGAUGCUUUGGUGCCUUCGGGAACUCUGAGACAGGUGCUGCAUGGCUGUCGUCAGCUCGUGUUGUGAAAUGUUGGGUUAAGUCCCGCAACGAGCGCAACCCUUAUCCUUUGUUGCCAGCGGUUAGGCCGGGAACUCAAAGGAGACUGCCAGUGAUAAACUGGAGGAAGGUGGGGAUGACGUCAAGUCAUCAUGGCCC
rnacentral:rRNA from 1 species